CGGAACCUGGAGCGGGGAGCGAGGCCCGGCCGGCCCGGACUGAGCACUACGGCACCUGGGGCCCACCUGCCUCCGCCGCCUUCCCGCCCCGCGCAGCCCCCUCCCACGCCUCCGUCCGCUCACCCGUUGACCAGGUCGUGGCACCGGCCCCCGUGCGCGCACGGCUGGCUCUGGCACUCGUCCAGGUCCAGCUGGCAGCUCGCGCCCCCGUAGCCCGGCGCGCACACGCAGCGGUCACCCUGGACAGGGCCGAAGACACAGACAGACGGAUGGACUCCCAGAGGGAGGUCGAAAGAGGCCCAGGCAGGCCGCCCUGAAACCAGCUCCAGACAGUUACAAGGAGCGGAAACUUGAGGCUCCGGAGAGAAGCCGUUGGUCCGUUCAUCUAGAGCAGGGUGAAGGGGAGCAACCCACUCGAGUUCACAUCACUGUCAGAGGCAACACCAAUCACCAAUGCCAGCCAGAACUGCUGUCCUCAGCUGGGGAUGGAAAUGGGCCAGAGCUCCCCAAGUCAGAGCGGCUCUUGAACUAGGACAGUGCAAGUGACCUUGACGAGACCCCCUGACUCUUCCUAAAAGAACCUGGGGUGAGGGGAAGAUCCCUUGAGCCACCUCCUGCAUCCUCUGGGACCCCCAGGCAUGGGGAAGAUAGCAUUCCAGGUGGGGCGGGGCGGGGUGGGGGGGGGAGCCUCUGUCCAUAGGCAAAGGCCUGGAGGCAGGGAAAGGCUGGCAGGUUUAAGAAAUGGGGCAGAGGGCAAGUUGGCUGGAGUACAGGCAGCAGGGAAGUGGCCCAGAGGCUGCUGGGAGAAUGGGGGCACCAUUAGGGAGUCCAGAUGCUGCCUGAGAGCAAGGGUGGGGGGGCUUCAGCAGGCCUCUUGCGAGGCAGUGCCGGGAGAGCUCAAUGCCAGAACAGCCUGGCAUCUGCAAAGGAUCACUCCAGCUGCAGAGAGGGGAGUGGCAGAACAGUUCUUGGAAAAGUGGCCUCUCUACUUGAGUCUAAAUGGUACAAUCCCUUAAAGUUUUAUGAAAACAAAAAAUGAAUAACGAAUGGAGAUCCUGAAAGAGGAAAUCCAUUUCCUUUUAAAUCUGAUGGAAAGAGCACAUCCACCCCAAAAUAAUACCAGCAGGAUUUUAAUAAUCUGUAGCAAAACACGCAAUGCCAUCAGAACUCACUCCAAGCUGCCUCCUUAGCUGAACCAAGAACCCUGAACCUGAAGUCUGUUUCGACAACAUGGUGCUCAUUGCCCACAUGGAGAAAUUGAGGCUUGGGUGGGGUCAGGGACUAACCCAAGGUCAUAUGGCAAAGUUGGAACUGGAACAAAGACUCCUGACUCUCAAGUUUGGGUCUCCUCUCUCUGUACAAGGCUGCUUGUCUGCACACAUUUCACACACACACACACACACACACACCUCACACCGCUGCACAACACACAGGAAAUGCUUUCCAAACUCAUAUAUGCAAGGGCGCCUGGGUGGCCCAGUUGGUUCAGCGUCUGACUUUGGCUCAGGUCAUGCUGUCUCGGUUGGUGGGUUCGAACCCCGUUUCAGGCUCCGUGCUGACAGCUCAGAGCCUAGAGCUUGCUUUGGAUUCUGUGUCUCCCUCUCUCUCUGCCCUUUCCCCACAUGUGCUCUGUCUCCUUCUCAAAAAUAAUAAAAUUGAAAGAAAACUCAUACGUGCAAAUAUCUGCAUACAUAUGAGAUCCACAAACUCACAGAUAUGCUCACAUAGAAGUAUGCGGACAUCCACACAGUUUCCCCCCCCCCCCCCCCAGAAAACCUAAACACCUAAACAGACAUACUCACAUUCACACACACAGGGGCUUGUGCACACAACUAUCUGAUCAGUCCAAAUCUGAAUCCUCGAAUGUAUCCAGGUACCUACACAGGGCACACAUGCAUAUAUCUACAGAAAGACAUAAGAUGCAAAAACAUCCCUCGGGGGCCCCUGGGUGGCUGGCUGUUGAGCGUCUGACUCUUGAUUUCAGCUCAGGUCAUGAUCCCAGGGUUGUGGGAUCAAGCCCCGCGUCAGGCUCCACCCACCUAAGAUUCUCUCUCUCCCUCUGCCCCACUUCCCUGCCCCCACCUCCCUGCUCACACGUGCGUUUUUUUUUCUAAAAUUAAAAAGUAAAAACCCACCAACACAUCCCUCAGUACACGUCUACAAACACAGCACUCACGCAUCAACAGACCCAGAGACUCCUAAAACUUUCACAGACAUGCUCACACAUACAGCAUACCUCUCACCCCGUGAGACCCACAGGCCAACACUCUGGCCUAAACAGCCAUAUCCUCUUGUUCACCCCCAGGCUGUGCUGGCACCAAGGUCAGCGUGGAGUGUCCCAGAGACCCUGUCAUGCCUCUGCAAGGGCCUGGGAAUCUGAGACGGACAGGGGCCUGUAAGAGGCCAAGGACACCACGCCCUCUGGAAAGAGCUGGCAGUGAUUCAGAGCAACUGCCCAGGCAGCUGGGGGCCGGGAGCUCAGCCCCCACAUUCUCCCCACCCAACAGGAGUAAGUGGGUGGGUGUUCCUUAAUGGGGGGGGGGGCACAGGGGCAGAGUAAAGAUGGAGGAGUUCAGCUACUAUGUGGGUUUAGGAUUCCUUCUUUCAUUCAUUCAUUGAUACUUAACAUUUUCUGAAUCAGGCAAAACGAAGACAAAUAGACAAAGCCUCUGCCCCCAGGAGUGCAGUCUAAGGGGUGAGCAGGCACACCCAGAGCUGUGCUGUUGUUUUACACAUUGUGACAAUGUCUACGAGGCCUCCAGAGAUCUGGGUUGCAUCUGAGGCCUUGGGCCACUGAGCAAUUCACAUUCUUCUCUGAGCCUCGGUUUCCUCAUCUGAGAAAUAGGGACCACAGUCUCCCUGACCACCUGCCGGGUUUGUUGCUAGAAUCAAAUUUGAUGAUGGAUGUGGCAGCGCUUUGGGGGGAAUGGGAAAGUUUUAGUAAAAUAAGACAUUGAUUAGGCACCAGCUGUGUGCCAGAUCUAUGGUAUAGGACUGUGGGUAGGUGCAUGGGCCCUGGAGUCAGAGAAACCCAGCUGGGUUCUAAUCUCUGCUUUGCCGGGACUAGCUGUGUGAGCUUGAGCAGGUUCCUUAACCUCUCUGAGGUUCUACUUUCUCAUCCAUAAGUGUUGUGUAAUAAUAAUACUCACUUUAUAUGAAUGCAGUGGGAUAGUGCACCUAAAAGCAUGGGGCCUGCCACAAAGCAGAUGUGCAAGUAAGUCAGUUCCUAUAUUUAUGUAUAAGCUUUCUCUUAUUCAUUCACCAAACUCUUGCUGAGCAGUUACCGUGAACCAGGCAUGAUUCUAAGGGCUCUCCAAAUUCUGACUCAUUUAAUCCUUCUAGCAACUCUACUAUUAUCCCUGUUUUACAGCCAAGGAAACUGAGGCCCAGAGAGGUCCCGGUCACUUAUUUGAGGUCACACAGCUGCUAGAAGUCAGAGAUGGAAUUGGAACCCAGGUCUGUCGGUGUCCUUAAGCCCAUCUAUAAGACAUGCAUUUCCCUCUUAGGGCUCAAAGUCCUCCCCUCUCCCAAGCAGCAAGCAACCCCUAUUAAAUAAAUCAUCCAGUAACGGUUUCUAA